UACGGGGGGGGCAAGCGUUGUUCGGAAUUACUGGGCGUAAAGGGCGCGUAGGCGGCCUGCUAAGUCGGAUGUGAAAUCCCUCGGCUCAACCGAGGAACUGCAUCCGAUACUGGCGGGCUUGAAUCCGGGAGAGGGAUGUGGAAUUCCAGGUGUAGCGGUGAAAUGCGUAGAUAUCUGGAGGAACACCGGUGGCGAAGGCGGCAUCCUGGACUGGUCCUGACACUCAUGAGCGAAAGCGUGGGGAGCGAUCCGG
rnacentral:rRNA from 1 species